rnacentral:rRNA from 1 species
AUUGAGCGCUGGCGGCAUGCCUUACACAUGCAAGUCGAACGGCAGCACGGGAGCAAUCCUGGUGGCGAGUGGCGAACGGGUGAGUAAUAUAUCGGAACGUGCCCAGUCGUGGGGGAUAACGUAGCGAAAGCUACGCUAAUACCGCAUACGAUCUAUGGAUGAAAGCGGGGGAUCGCAAGACCUCGCGCGAUUGGAGCGGCCGAUAUCAGAUUAGGUAGUUGGUGAGGUAAAGGCUCACCAAGCCGACGAUCUGUAGCUGGUCUGAGAGGACGACCAGCCACACUGGGACUGAGACACGGCCCAGACUCCUACGGGAGGCAGCAGUGGGGGAAUUUUUGGGACAAUGGGCGCAAGCCUGAUCCAGCAAUGCCGCGUGCAGGAUGAAGGCCU